rnacentral:rRNA from 1 species
GAUGAACGCUGGCGGCGUGCCUAAUACAUGCAAGUCGAGCGAACAGAUGAGGAGCUUGCUCCUCUGACGUUAGCGGCGGACGGGUGAGUAACACGUGGAUAACCUACCUAUAAGACUGGGAUAACUUCGGGAAACCGGAGCUAAUACCGGAUAAUAUAUUGAACCGCAUGGUUCAAUAGUGAAAGACGGUUUUGCUGUCACUUAUAGAUGGAUCCGCGCCGCAUUAGCUAGUUGGUAAGGUAACGGCUUACCAAGGCAACGAUGCGUAGCCGACCUGAGAGGGUGAUCGGCCACACUGGAACUGGGCCACGGUCCAGACUCCUACGGGAGGCAGCAGUAGGGAAUCUUCCGCAAUGGGCGAAAGCCUGACGGAGCACCGCCGCGUGAGUGAUGAAGGUCUUCGGAUCGUAAACCUCUGUUAUUAGGGAAGAACAAAUGUGUAAGUAACUAUGCACGUCUUGACGGUACCUAAUCAGAAAGCCACGGCUAACUACGUG